rnacentral:sRNA from 1 species
UGGUAUUCAACCUCGUUUAUACGUACCCU